rnacentral:rRNA from 1 species
GUGGGGAAUAUUGGACAAUGGGCGCAAGCCUGAUCCAGCCAUGCCGCGUGAGUGAUGAAGGCCCUAGGGUUGUAAAGCUCUUUCACCGGAGAAGAUAAUGACGGUAUCCGGAGAAGAAGCCCCGGCUAACUUCGUGCCAGCAGCCGCGGUAAUACGAAGGGGGCUAGCGUUGUUCGGAAUUACUGGGCGUAAAGCGCACGUAGGCGGACAUUUAAGUCAGGGGUGAAAUCCCGGGGCUCAACCCCGGAACUGCCUUUGAUACUGGGUGUCUGGAGUAUGGAAGAGGUAAGUGGAAUUCCGAGUGUAGAGGUGAAAUUCGUAGAUAUUCGCAGGAACACCAGUGGCGAAGGCGGCUGACUGGUCCAUUACUGACGCUGAGGUGCGAAAGCGUGGGGAGCAAACAGGAUUAGAUACCCCUGUAGUCC